rnacentral:lncRNA from 1 species
AAAUAUUGAUAGUAUCACACUAGCCGCUUCCUAAUGUAACUGUGGCUGGCACUCUGCAGAGGCAAGGGGAGCUGCAGGUUCUGUAGCAGGACAGCCAGAUGGGUGACCCCAAUAGGAAGAUGAAGUAAGCCUUUAUGUAUGAAAAGACUGUUGUUGAACGGAAUAAUUACAUUUUGGAGUAUGUGGAUUUUUCAAAUCAGCCAGUUUUAUUGUGAAUACAUGAUUCAUAGAAACAAAAGAAAGACAGGAAAUAAAAC